GCUAGAGCUGACAGAAAAGAUCUGAUGAGGAAGUUGCCAAAAUUUAUAUAUGAUGAGGAGAAAACUUUGGAGCCAUAGACGAUGUUUCUGCUCAGCUACAUGGAGAUGAUGCCCCUAAUGGAGUUGCAGUGAGUUCAAAUGAAGUUGGAGCUUCAAUGUAACAGAAUAUUUGUUGUAAUUGCCAUAUAAAUCAUCACUACUUACGUGUGAUUAGUACUGGAAAAACAAUGUUUUGAAUCCUUUAUCCCUUUUAAUUUUCUAUUCGGUUAAUAAAUUCAGGUUGAUUGUACUUAUAUAAAAAAUUUACUAGAAAUGAUAGCAAAAUAUGAUUUGUUUCA